rnacentral:ncRNA from 1 species
GAAUAUUUUAACAAGUGUGUACAUGUCCAAGCGUGCAAAUUAAAGAAAAAAAACCUGAUUUGUCGAGUUUCUCCAUCAAGAUUAGACGAUUACAAUAAGACUAUGUAGCUACUGUCAAUGGAAUGUUCAACCGUUUAUACAACGACAAAUUACCAACUCCAUCAGUCAACAUAGCAGCAGCCUUUUCUUCACUUGAAUUCAGGCCGUCAGUACCACUAACUUAAUCUUAAUAAAAUGCACUUUAUAUUAUUAUUUUAUUUUUGCACGUACAUUUUUAUAUUUAUAACCGAUUUUUUGGUAUUCUUGUUUAAUUAUAUUAUACGGAUAUAUCCAAACCUUUAGUAUGUAACAUAGUAUGUAAACAUCUCUCUGUCAUUAUUAAAAAAAAGAAUUGAAAGCUCUUGUAAUCGGGUGGGUAUGAAAAUAUAUAUAACUGAUUAGAUAAAAAUGAUUGGAGGCGUAAGGGUCGAAACGACCUUAACUUAUUCUCAAACUUUAAAUGGGUAUGAAGGUUGUGUGUCCAAUUGGCCAAUAUUGGUAAGCAGAACUGGUGCUGUCGGAUGAACCAAACAUAAUGUUACGGUGCCCAAAUUAACAACUCAUGCCAUGAAUAGCGUUGGUGUCUUCAAACAGCAGGACGGUGGACAUGAAAGUCGAAAUCCGCUAGGGAGUGUGUAAAAACUCACCUGCCGAAACAACUAUCUCUUAAAAUGGAUGGCGCUAAACUUGUAUACCUAUACAUUACCGCUAAAGUAAAUGGUUGAAUUUCAAUUUAUUCGGGAUUGUAAACUUCAAAACUAUAGUGAGUAGGAGGGUACAACGAUGAGCGUAGAAGUGUUUUAAGUAAGCCUGCAUGGAGCCGCCAGAUCUUAGUGGUAAUAGCAAAUAACCGAAUGAGACCUUGGAGGACUGAAGUGAUCAAGGGUUUCGUGCGAACAGUGGUUGAUCACUAGUUUGUCGGUCCUAAGUUCACGGCGAAAGCUGAAAAUUUUGAAGUUACAUAUUGAGGGUAUAUUUAUAUGUAUAAAUAAUGUAUAACACACUUGAAUAUAAUUAAACGAAAGGGAAUACGAUUCCAAUUUCGUAACCUGUUGAGUAUCCAUUUGCUUAUUAAAUGUUCUGACAACAGGAACGACCAUAAAGAAGUCUUCGAGAAAUAUCGGAAGAGUCUUCUUUUCUGCUAUGCACGCAAACUUCUCAACAGGCCGUACCAAUAUCCGCAGCUGAUCGCCGAGGUGAAGAGUCUGUAGGAGAGAAUGUAGGUAAGGGAAGUCGGCGAAUUAGAUUCGCAACUUCGGGAUACGGAUUGGCUCUGAAGAUUGAGGUCGUCGGGCUUGAUUGGGAAGCAAUAAUAUGGUUUAUGUACUGGUUUGGGUAAAUACAAAUUUUCGGAUCUUAUCCCUCGGAUAGCAGUUACGUAAACAAUUGUGGAACUUUGUUGCUGAAACUUUUAAGGGAUUAUCGCAAGAUAUAUUCUUUUUAAAUUAUAACGAUUAUCAAUUAACAAUCAAUUUAGAGCUGGCACGGACUUGGAGAAUCUGACUGUCUAAUUAAAAGAAAGCAUUGUGAUGGCCCUAACGGGUGUUGACACAAUGUGAUUUCUGCCCAGUGCUCUGAAUGUCAAAAUGAAGAAAUUCAAGUAAGCGCGGGUAAACGGCGGGAGUAGCUAUGACUCUCUCGCGUAACUAUGACAACCAACUAGCAAUUAAAAGAGAGAGUCACAGAGAUGCCUAUUCUCACCUCCUCGUGGUGCCUGCCGGGCGGUAGACGCGAAAGAUCGCUGUCCCCCAAAAUGUCGGACGU